GACGAACGCUGGCGGCGUGCUUAACACAUGCAAGUCGAGCGGUAAGGCCCUUUCGGGGGUACACGAGCGGCGAACGGGUGAGUAACACGUGGGUGACCUGCCCUCAGCUCUGGGGAUAAGCCUGGGAAACCGGGUCUAAUACCGGAUAUGACUCCAUGACGCAUGUUGUGGGGUGGAAAGCCUUGUGCGGCUGAGGAGUGGGCCCGCGGCCUAUCAGCUUGUUGGUGGGGUGAUGGCCUACCAAGGCGACGACGGGUAGCCGGCCUGAGAGGGCGACCGGCCACACUGGGACUGAGACACGGCCCAGACUCCUACGGGAGGCAGCAGUGGGGAAUCUUGCGCAAUGGGCGAAAGCCUGACGCAGCGACGCCGCGUGAGGGAUGACGGCCUGGUGUAAC
rnacentral:rRNA from 1 species